rnacentral:lncRNA from 1 species
CUCACUUCCGUUGUGUUGUGGUUGUAUUUGCAGCGCGUUUUUCUAUUUGCAGCGCGUUUUUCUAGUUGCAGCGCGUUUUUCUAUUUGCUGCGCCUGUGUUGUAAUUUUGAUGGAUGUGUUUUGUGCUUUUGCAGCGCUUUUCAAUUUGCACUGCGUUGGGCUUUCUCGGCCACCGUAAAUUGCUUUAUAUUAUGCAAUGUGAUUUGUGAGUGUUUUGUAAGAUUUUCUUUUGUUUUGUUUAGUGCACCCCCCAUUAUUGAAAAUCUACAGCCAGUUAGAUCAUACCUUCAGUUCCUACAGUGUAUAAAAUAUUGUGUAAUUCUCUCUGCAGCUCCUCCAGUUUCCUCCACACCCCUGAUAACCACCAAACCACCAACUCCCCAUUCACCUGAUACAGCCUCAGGUUUAACUGCAGCUUCUGAUUCUGGUCCAGCUUUGGUGACUGAAGCUCAGUCUACAGCUGGGUUUCUCUCUGUUGGAGAUCUUCCUCAGCCCUUUCUCUCAGUGUCUCCUGCAGUUAUCACACAGAAUGAAUCAGUAGAGCUGCACUGUGGAGCUGAUAAUAGAGAGUAUCAGUGUAUUUUCUAUCCAAAGGGUCAGGAUACAAGAACUAAACUCUCCUCAUCCUGUCAGCUCUCACUCACUGGAUCUGAGCUGAUGUGGUGGACAAGACGAAGCUCUGGUUCACCUGAACCGGUUAACAUGAUUUGUUUCUACAGUAAGAAAGCAACAGCAGGUUCUAGACCUUCUGAUCACUCUGCCCCAGUUGCUGUGUUGAUUCUGGAUCAGAAACCAACAAUAAGUGUUCAAUAUGAUUUUCAACGUGAUGAGUUUACAGCUGUGUGUGAAAUACAGCUGUCACGGUCAGUAAUUGCUGAAUUUAGAUGUGAGCUCUACACUGGAGAUCUGCAGUUCCUGAAGGGAGAAUCUCAGAAGUCUGGCUUUGAGAAGUUGAACUGUAUUUUUACAGCUUCUAAAAAUGAUCUUUUCAGGCGUCUACACUCAGCCAAGAGCAGAGAAGUUAGCUGUGAUUAUUCUCUAAAAUCUGACCCGUCCACUCGCUCUCCAAGAAGUGACAAAUACGAUAUAUCAGUUUUCCUUCCUAUACCAACCCAACCCUCUACAACACAGCAGAAAUCUACUACAGGUAGAACUGUUCCUUCAGUUCCCAGUAGGUUAAGUGUCCAUACAGUACUGUGCAAAAGUUUUAGGCACCAAAGCAAA